AGACCCAGAAGACAUGGGAAACUGUCCUUUGCUUACAGAGGUCAGCAGAAGUUGUAGAAGUCCAUUCUUUUUGACAAUAAUAGAGCAUUGCACAUCCUGUGUUACAGUGAAAAUGGACCAUCCCAGAGUCAUGAAUAGGAAAAGAGUUGUGUAUAUCCCAUUGGCAUACGUGGGCAAGGGGCGGGGUCUAUUUUCCGUGUCAUGGCUCCUCCCUGUAGACUUCAAGAAGUUCCAUAUCCGGAAGUGGGCCCCGUAGACUUUCGUUUGACUGUCGACACCUUUCUCGGUGUGUCAUAUUCACUCAUCAUUGACUGAUGACCCCUGAACAGAUUUCCGGCCCUUCUUCAUACAGCUUGUCUUCCACCUUCACAGUCAUGCUGUGUCAUAUUCACUCAUCAUUGACUGAUGACCCCUGAACAGAUUUCCGGCCCUUCUUCAUACACCUUGUCUUCCACCUUCACAGUCAUGGCACAACACUCAGGAGUGCUGUGAGUUGCAUGACACCUGCAGAGGCUCCAUACUACAGACUACUACUACUCGGUACUACAGAAACCGGAUCACUUGACAAGCCUGUGUCCUGUUUUGGCCUUCCACACUCUGUAGGAUUGCAUAGGCUCCAUUUCUUCUCCCACAUCACCAUUCCAAAACAACUCCAGAUGUUUCGUUUGUAUUAUGGCCAGUUUCUUUACAUCUGUUACACUACCUGUGUUUUGCACCCAAAACUGGACUGCUCUAUCUGUUUCUUGUUUUUUAUCAUUAUCACUUGCAUUGCUGUAAAUAUGUUCCAUUAGCUCAGUUUUGCAACUAUGAAGUGUACAGUUUUGUUGUUGUAUUACUGUUACGCUGAGCAAAAAGAAACCUCAAACCUUA